rnacentral:rRNA from 1 species
AUUGAACGCUGGCGGCAUGCUUUACACAUGCAAGUCGAACGGUAACAGGGUGCUUGCACCGCUGACGAGUGGCGAACAGGUGAGUAAUGCGUCGGAACGUGCCGAGUAGUGGGGGAUAACGCAGCGAAAGUUGUGCUAAUACCGCAUACGUACUGAGGUAGAAAGUGGGGGACCUUCGGGCCUCACGCUACUCGAGCGGCCGACGGCUGAUUAGCUAGUAGGUGAGGUAAAGGCUCACCUAGGCGACGAGCAGUAGCGGGUCUGAGAGGAUGAUCCGCCACACUGGGAAUGAGACACGGCCCACACUCCUACGGGAGUCAGCAGUGGGGAAUUUUGGACAAUGGGCGAAAGCCUGAUCCAGCCAUGCCGCGUGUCUGAAGAAGGCCUUCGGGUUGUAAAGGACUUUUGUCAGGGAGGAAAUCCCUAGUGCUAAUAACACUGGGGGAUGACAGUACCUGAAGAAUAAGCACCGGCUAACUACGUGCCAGCCGCCGCGGUAA